CAGGAAGUCAUGCGCAUAGUCAAGCAAUACAAAUACCUGGGUACGAGGGUCUGGCGAGGUAUGGACCCUCGUAGGACGCCGGACGUCCGGUCACGUGACGGCCGUGGAUGCCACAGUAGGCCGCGCUGCAAAACGCUGCAUACGGCAA
rnacentral:lncRNA from 1 species